rnacentral:rRNA from 1 species
AGCGAACGCUGGCGGCAUGCCUAACACAUGCAAGUCGCACGGGGGGGCUUCGGCCUCCCAGUGGCGGACGGGUGAGGAACGCGUAGGGACCUGUCGAGGGGUGGGGGAUAACCGCGGGAAACUGCGGCUAAUACCGCAUGACGCCGCCGCGUGACAGCCGGGGCCACAGGCGAAAGCCGCCCGCCGCGGGGCCUGCGUCCGAUUAGCUGGUUGGCGGGGUAGCGGCCCACCAAGGCGUCGAUCGGUAGCUGGUCUGAGAGGGUGAUCAGCCACACCGGGAAUGAGCAACGGGCCGGGCUCCUAGGGGAGGAAGCAGUGGGGAAUAUUGGCAAACGGGUGCAAGACCGAGACAGUAAGGCAGGGUGGGUGAAGAAGGUCUGAGGAGUGUAAAGCCAGUGCGGGGGGGAAGAUGGUGAGGGGACACGCAGGAGAAGGCAGGGCUAGAUUCGUG